UCCCUGGUGGCUCAGACGGUAAAGCGUCUGCCUGCAAUGAGGGAGACCCAGGUUCAAUUCCUGGGUUGGGAA
rnacentral:tRNA from 1 species